AAACAGAACCAAACAGGCAACGUCUGUUAAUUUAUUAAUACAAUUGAUUUAUGCACUGAUGAUGAUUAAGGGGUUGCCCUACCGUCUCUGCCUUUGGGAUUGUGGCCAGUCCCAGACAGACGUCAAAACCGUUGAGAGGCGCUCGGCCAGGUCUUCCAACCAGUCAGCGCAUCCUAAUCUCAUUAACUUUGCCACCUAACAGAUGGACACAACCGAGUGAACUUCAAUAGUGGGGCAAGGGGCAGCUGCAGCACUCCAAAGUGCUAAACUUAAACUAAAGUUUAAUGACCACAAAAUCCCAUCAGGGCCCUCCACGACCAGCAGCUCCUUUUUGACCAAUUACGAACGCAUUUCAGUUGAACCGCUAAUCGGUUUCCACUGCCCCACC
rnacentral:lncRNA from 1 species